rnacentral:tRNA from 1 species
AAUUAAUUAGCUAUAACCAAGCAUAUGUUUUGAAAACUUAAAAAAGAAUAAAUUUUUCUAUUAAUUU